GAAGGUUCAAAAGUGAGGCAACAUGGACAAGUCAGUUCCACGGCUUCUCAGAGAAGCUGCCCAAGCAAUAGAGCGACAAAGUGCAAAUGCUGCCCCUUCAGAAAGGCCAUCGUCCAGCUUGAGCAUAACGCCUCCGGAUCGAAGUGGUGGGACACGGGCAGAAGUUUUAAGAUUAUUUGCACCAUACUCAAAUUCACGGGGUCGCCUGCCUAAACGUCCCAACACUGCUGGACCUUAAGCAAAAAAGUCAAAAAGUGUGUCCUAUACCCAUCGUUUUUUUUUUGCCUAUCCAAAAGAAAGGAAUAUGAGGUCCUAAAUCCCUCAGUGAAAAACAAAUUAGAGAGGGCAGGAAUGGGAGAGAAGAGGAUAACCUUUCCAGACAAAUACUGCACUCCACAGUAUUUUUCAGACCAUCUUUUUCAGCAUUUCCCCAUCUUGAAAGAGUGUGGCGGUUUCCAGCUCUUGCGAUCCAGAGGAUCAACACGUUCAAAAAUAUUAGAGACAAUACCCUGUCCAGACGAUGGCUAUUGCCCUGAGUACCUCUUAAAUUCUUGAGUGACCAGCCUAUAUCCACUGAACCAAUGACAGAAUGCUUGUACUGCAAUGAGAAGUAUAGCCUGUCAGAAAUACAAGACCAUGUUGAUGUUUGUGAGAAGUAGGUGACAUUUAAACAUUUACAUACAAUAUUAAACAUUUUAUAUACAUAGGCACUUUUUUCCCUUUAAAAUAAUGUAUAUUUGAUGUGGUUCUCUAAUCUCUUAAUGCAGAUUUAUCAUUUUGGACCUUUUUCACAGACCGUGGUGAUGCCUUUACCCCAAAAAUAUUAUUACUUCAUAAGAGUAGUGAUGUUUUUUGAUUAAUGUACAUUUAUGCCAACAUACUUUACAUUAUAAUACUUGGCCAUUCAAUUAAAGAAAAAGUUAUCACUAUUGUGGGAAGGAGUGAUGUUGAAUUUAAUAUUUUUCAUAUAUUUUUCACUGCUGUACUGUGAUUAUGGUUAUAUCAGGUUACAUGAGUCAGGCAAAGUGAUAUCAGAUAACACUGGCAUUACAAGACAGGAAGAAAUUGCAGCAACCAUGUCAGAGGAUAAUGCUGAAAGGGAGGAAAGGGCCUCAACAUCACUUACUACUGUUUUCUCAGCCAGUACCAGCCCAUCAGCAGAGCCUGCCACUGAAGGUGUCUCCAUCUAAAUGAACAUACCACUGAACAUAGCUUUCUCUGUAUUAGCUUUAGCACACAAAUCAUGUUUUUCUUAAACUAUUAAAAAACAGGCAAGCUAUCAGGGAUAUUAAUCAUAUCACAGUUAUUCGUAUCUUUUGAAGAUUUGUUGUCAUCAAAUGAUUUGUAGUCAAACGGGAAAUGUUAACUUUUUAUAAACGUCCAAAUAUUGAUUGAACAAGUCCGUUAACUGUAAAACUUAAAGGUAUGAAUAUUUGUAUAUAAAGGCAUUUCAUCUAUGAUGAAGCACUCUUGCAUACUUGUUUCUUAUUUUACUAUUUGGUUUUAUUUUAGUUUUAGUAAUGUGUUUUUUAUGUACAUUGUAUGUAAUCUGUGUUAAAAACAGAGGAGAUGCUGCAUUAGGGGAUGGAGUAACAUGGCACUUUUUCACAGUGAUAAUGGAAAAGCUCCACAAUGGAUUUGAACUUGACAUUGGGACGGGGAUAAUAACUGAGCGUUUGAAGCAGCAUGGGACUUCACACUGCUCCAGUGAUCUAUUGAAGAUCUGAGUGAAGAUGGGGGCCAGUUGGUUAGCACAGGAAUGAAGGCAAGCUGGUGAGAUGCCAUCUGGUCCUGGAGCCUUCCUUGUCCUUUGCUUCCGAAAGACGCGGCACACAUCGUCCUCAAAUCUUGAGUGCAGCUGGAAAGCCAGAAUGAAUUGAAUCCGAACGAAAUGGACAGUAUCAACAAUCUGGCCAUCAGUUGGGACCUGCCAGCAGUCAGCAACAUCAACAGAAGAUGGUUGGCAGAAACCAUUCUCUACCAUGGGGUUAUUGGUCGACGUGAAAAACAGAUCUCACAGCUGCGGAGAGGGGGGGGCAGUUUACAAAUAAUAAAUACUAAUAAAACACUAGGUAGUUAAAUUAAUUACUGAUAUAAUUUUUGCUGCCCUGUGUUUAGGCUUGUAUUCAAUGCUGCUAUCUUUGUAUUAGAUGAUACUUAAGAGUCAUCUGGCCAGAACCAGACAGUGAUGAAGAUGAAGCCCAAUUCAACCUGGAGCAAUCUUGUAACGUUAAGGCCUUCUUGCGUGAAUAUAUUCAAACAGGAUCACCUGCUGAACUGUGCGAGUUGCUGAAGUUUUGGACUGGCUGGGCUGUUCUGCCUCAACAUCUGUAUGUUGAAGUAUCACCUGACCUAUCAUUGCCAGUGGCUUCAACCUGCCUCACAACACUUAAACUUACUUUAAGAUGCAG